UCUUAUGUAAAUCAACGAACCUAGACGCCUUCUUAAUCGGAUUUCGCUAAACCGUGUUUCGGAAACUUCCGCAAAUUACGAACAAGAUUGUCGGACGUGUUUUAAGUAAACCUCAACCUCUUCGCCUAUAAAUCGAAGCACUUGGCUCCUGUGAUCGUUACAUCCCCAUCGCUCACUCCACUCUCGAAAACACCUUCCGAAUAUCCUUGCACAUUGCCGGAGAUCGAAGCUCGCCGGAGACGAAGACGACGUCGGAACUCGGUCCAGGCUCAAAUCGUCUUGAUCGGAUAAUCUUCGUUGGUCCAAGUUUCUCAAUCUUUACUCGUGCAUUAUUUUACAAGAAACGCAACGCAAUCAAGGUUGCUAGUCAAGAUGAUCAAGAAACAAGCUAGGAUGGCUUUAGAUACCCAUUUUAGCAGUUAAACAAUGUUUGAAUAUAUGUUUACUAUUUGAAACAAUGUAUUAUUCUUUAGUUUUAAUAAAAUGAUUUAAUUCAUAUUGUCA